rnacentral:rRNA from 1 species
AACGAACGCUGGCGGCAUGCCUAACACAUGCAAGUCGAACGAGACCUUCGGGUCUAGUGGCGCACGGGUGCGUAACGCGUGGGAACCUGCCCUUAGGUUCGGAAUAACUCCCCGAAAGGGGUGCUAAUACCGGAUAAUGUCUUCGGACCAAAGAUUUUUCGCCUUUGGAUGGGCCCGCGUUGGAUUAGCUAGUUGGUAGGGUAAAAGCCUACCAAGGCGACGAUCCAUAGCUGGUCUGAGAGGAUGAUCAGCCACACUGGGACUGAGACACGGCCCAGACUCCUACGGGAGGCAGCAGUGGGGAAUAUUGGACAAUGGGCGAAAGCCUGAACCAGCAAUGCCGCGUGAGUGAUGAAGGCCUUAGGGUUGUAAAGCUCUUUUACCCGGGAUGAUAAUGACAGUACCGGGAGAAUAAGCUCCGGCUAACUCCGUG